rnacentral:rRNA from 1 species
AAUAUUGCACAAUGGGGGAAACCCUGAUGCAGCCAUGCCGCGUGUGUGAAGAAGGCCUUACGGGGUUGUAAAGCACUUUCAGUAGGGAGGAAGGUAGUGUAGUUAACACCUGCAUUAUUUGACGUUACCUACAGAAGAAGCACCGGCUAACUCCGUGCCAGCAGCCGCGGUAAUACGGAGGGUGCGAGCGUUAAUCGGAAUUACUGGGCGUAAAGCGCAUGCAGGCGGCCUGUUAAGUCAGAUGUGAAAGCCCGGGGCUUAACCUCGGAAUUGCAUUUGAAACUAGGCAGGCUAGAGUCUUGUAGAGGGGGGUAGGAAUUUCAGGUGUAGCGGUGAAAUAGCGUAGAGAUCUGAAGGAAUACCAGUGGCGAAGGCGGCCCCCUGGACAAAGACUGACGCUCAGAUGCGAAAGCGUGGGGAGCAAACAGGAUUAGAUACCCUGGUAG